CUCAACUGUUUAGCAAUGUGCCAGGACUAGAGGACAGCUAAGACCUCCGAGUUGAGACUGCAAGUCAUAAAGGACUUUGUGAGGUAUGGUACCCCUGCAACCUAGCACAGUGCAUAGCAUGUAGAAGACCCUCAUUAAACAUUUCUUAUCUGAAUGAAAAUGUUACAAAAUGCAUUGUGAAAUACCUACAAUGUCGAAAGAAAGGUAUGAAAGUGGAUUUUCUCUGAAGACACACUUCUGGAGAGCUGAAGGAAUAAACAAAACCAAACUACUACCCGAUUCGGCAUGCAAACUGUUACCUCAAGAAGGAAAGAAGAAAAUGGAAUGCAAAAACCAUUGUGUCUAAACAUUGACCAGAUGUGUGAAAAACUUAUUUUAAUGAGGGGCACUGUGACUCACUAAGCAGUAAAACUUGAGUCCUGAU
rnacentral:lncRNA from 1 species